GUGAGAGAAGGACAAAGCUUUACCCACUCAGUGUGGGGCCUUCACAUAAUCAGAAUGCCGCCGUAGCUGCCAAUUCACCUGUCAACAGGUCCUCCUGAGCCAGGGAGCCACAGAGAUCAAGUCCAAUCCAGUGUACACUGAGCAGCCCUUGGGCUAUUUGGUGAGCGAAAAUCCCCCCCACCUGACUUUUCAAGUUCAGAGCUUCCCCAGGGGAUUAGAAUGCAGGUAUUCCCUCCUCUACUUCAUUAAGCGCUCCUGCUUGAUGCCUGGAACCACCGGAUCCCCACACAGUUCAGGCAAAGCCAGUCCCAGGCCAGAGCUUUGCAGAGACACGAGUCAGAGGGACAGA
rnacentral:lncRNA from 1 species